rnacentral:rRNA from 1 species
UACGGAGGGUCCAAGCGUUAUCCGGAUUCAUUGGGUUUAAAGGGUUCGUAGGCGGAUAGAUAAGUCAGUGGUGAAAUCCCGAAGCUCAACUUCGGAACUGCCAUUGAAACUGUUUAUCUUGAAUUUAGUUGAAGUAGGCGGAAUAUGACAUGUAGCGGUGAAAUGCAUAGAUAUGUCAUGGAACACCAAUUGCGAAGGCAGCUUACUAAGCUAAUAUUGACGCUGAUGAACGAAAGCAUGGGUAGCGAAC